rnacentral:ncRNA from 1 species
ACGCCGGGAGUAACUCUGACUCUCUUAAGGUAAACAAUUGGAUUGCCUUAGUAAAAUCUGGCCGUAUGCUGGAAAGUCUGAGAAUGUCAGGUUAGGUCUUGAAAGCUUAAAAGUUUUGGAGCCCUGAAAAUACCAUGACUGCAGAUAAUCAGCAGGAAAGACUAGAAAGAUUCUAGAAUCCUCAGAGACUAUAUGCCAGAAAUCGUUUUGAACGGUUAAGAUAUAGUCCGACCCCUAUAGCGAUAUAGGG